GCCAGGCACAGUGCAGAGUGCCUGUAAUCCUAGCACUUGGGAGGCUAAGGCCAGAGGUUAACUUGAGCUCAGGAGUUUGAGGCCAGCCUGAGCAACACAGUGAGACCUCCUUCU
rnacentral:sRNA from 1 species